GGAGGAAAAGAAACCAACAGGGAUUGCCCCAGUAACGGCGAGUGAAGCGGCAACAGCUCAAAUUUGAAAUCUGGCCCCCAGGGCCCGAGUUGUAAUUUGCAGAGGAUGCUUUUGGCGCGGUGCCUUCCGAGUUCCCUGGAACGGGACGCCAUAGAGGGUGAGAGCCCCGUCUGGUCGGACGCCUAGCCUGUGUAAAGCUCCUUCGACGAGUCGAGUAGUUUGGGAAUGCUGCUCUAAAUGGGAGGUAUAUGUCUUCUAAAGCUAAAUACCGGCCAGAGACCGAUAGCGCACAAGUAGAGUGAUCGAAAGAUGAAAAGCACUUUGAAAAGAGGGUUAAAUAGUACGUGAAAUUGUUGAAAGGGAAGCGCUUGUGACCAGACUUGGGCCCGGUGGAUCAUCCAGCGUUCUCGCUGGUGCACUCCGCCGGGUUCAGGCCAGCAUCAGUUCGCCGCGGGGGAAAAAGGCUUCGGGAACGUGGCUCCUACGGGAGUGUUAUAGCCCGUUGCAUAAUACCCUGGGGCGGACUGAGGUUCGCGCUCCGCAAGGAUGCUGGCGUAAUGGUCAUCAGC
rnacentral:rRNA from 1 species